UGGUUUACACAUAUAACAGUGGGCGUUGUACAUGUUUACCUUGUGACGGUGGAUAACGAUAAGCGAUUUACCCGGCCAUCAGCACAGCAGGUGAAUUCAGUACUUGAAACAUGCUCGAAAGACGAUACCUGACAGUGUAAGAAGAUCCCAACGCAUGGAUGUGGAUUGAGCCCGAACAAACUUAACAACGAAGCAUGUCAUGAAUGCACUAACUUUAAUUACAGAUUAAGGUGCUCGGUAUCUCUGCGGAGUCUGUCAACAAACUCAGAGGUCGGUAACUGGGACAACAGGAUGCUGAGCACACUUUCGAGGGAUGUCGAAAUGUUGGUGCACAACAGGAAGGUUUAGUGUAAGCUUAUUUUAGCAGAUGGAAUGUUCGAUUAAUGAUAGAGCGUACUUGGCACAUUUAUUGACUGAUGCGAUUUUUUUAAUUACUAGCAAUUUUUGUACAAGUGUUGGUUUUUAGGCACAUAAAUCUUUAACAUUGCACUAAGGUUACCUUAGUGACUUGCCAAUGUGGUAUUCGCCCAUGUUAACUAUUUACUACCUUGUACAACCCGAAAUCAAUAUAAUUAAUUUCUCCAAA